rnacentral:misc_RNA from 1 species
UCCAGCUUAUCGCUGGCGGUCUCCUGAGAGUUGCGCCUUGCGGCAUGCCAACACAGGACAAGGGUUGCGCUCGUUGCGGGACUUAACCCAACAUCUCACGACACGAGCUGACGACAGCCAUGCAGCACCUGUGUGCCGGUUCUCUUUCGAGCACUCCCUGAUCUCUCAAGGAUUCCGGCCAUGUCAAGGGUAGGUAAGGUUUUUCGCGUUGCAUCGAAUUAAUCCACAUCAUCCACCGCUUGUGCGGGUCCCCGUCAAUUCCUUUGAGUUUUAAUCUUGCGACCGUACUCCCCAGGCGGUCUACUUCACGCGUUAGCUGCGUUACUAAGGGAUUUAACUCCCCCAACAACUAGUAGACAUAGUUUAGGGCGUGGACUAC